GACAAAUUUACAUGUAAACAUUAAGGAGUGAGGAAGUUAAAACGAUACCAGUCGAGUUUUAGAGCUUUGGUGACCAUUUUAAAAGAAUAUAUGAUAAAUUCAAAGGUAAGUCUAUCGUAUUGCAUUGUCUUAAAUGAAUUCUCAGCUAAAAUACGGCAAUAAAUGGAUCAUAAACUUAGCUAAAUUUACUGUUGACAACGAGGUUGACAGAUCCAUUGCUUUUUUGCCUUGAAUAACUUUACCAUAGUCAUUUUACCUUAAAAUGUAGCUACCGAGGAUAUCUCUAAGAGAUUUUACACAGAUAAACUGAUAACAUGAAAAUCCUUGUGCCAUUCUAUACUUGGCAUAAUCUCUACAUCAAUAGUUCACCAGUUCACUAAUAUAAAUUCAAUAUAUUUUUGAACCAGUCCAUAUAUUAUUAUACACAAUGUAGUAUAGUUAAUUUGACCAUAUUUGAGAAGUAAGGGUGUAUUUCAUUACACAGACACUGCUGAAUUUUAGGUUACAUGCCAUUGGAUUGAUAUAUAAAAAACACUUGUAAAACACACACAUUAUCUUGUUGAUAGAAUAGUUAUUUGCAGUACACUAACUGUUGGCAUACUCUAUUUCAGGGCUAUCAAUUGUUUUUGUCACUGGCAGUCUUUGAAAUACAAUCUUGCUCUGUGGCCUUUACUGACAAGUUGGCUUUUACUACAUAUGUGGCACUGACACUUCUUUAAUUAAUGCACCAGUCAGUGUAAACCCCCCAACCAGGGAGGGGCAGGGAUUUUGACUUGGAGGGGUAGUAAAAAAGCGAAAUUGUCCCCGCCCCCAGGGACGUCAAUGUCCCCUGCAUGUCUCUUAACCCCAGGAAAAUAGUUUUGUAUAAUCAUAGAUCAGCAAUAGAAAAUCAAAUUCAUUUAUGUUGUUGUUGUAUUUAAACUUUUCUUGUCAAGAAAACUAAAACAGCAACACAGGAUAUAUAUGUUAACCACUGUCCAAGUCUCCCAUCAUCGGGGACAAAUUUAUAAUCAAAACUGACCACUUUCCCCGUUAAACCUUCCGCCCCUCCCCGGUUGGGGGCAGGGAUUUACAUUGACUGGUGCAUAACUAGAUGAUUGCAUGAAGCAUUGCAUGUAAGUUGAUUUAUAAUUUGUUUAUGAGUAAACUCACACUUUCAUUAUAAUGGUUGAUCAAAUAUAUCAUAUGCAUUUGAUUGGUUGAUGGUCCCUUAAUGGUAAUGGUGGUCAAAUCUGAACCUAUAUAAUGUCAAUAUGAUUUGAACCUAUAUAAUGUCAAUAUACUGGAA
rnacentral:lncRNA from 1 species